UGAGUGUGUUCAUGUUCUUCCUGUAGAAGGAGAAAGAAGAGUUUUGUAAUUGAUGAUGUAAAUUAUGAUUUGCACAGAUAUCUGUUCAUCUGUACUGAGACACUGAUGAUACACUGAACAUGAAGAGUUCAGCUACAUGAAAAGAUCAAACAGAUUCAUAAUUCCUGACUCUGAUGUGUUUUAUCUCCAUCAGAUUCCCAUCAGCUCACUCUGGAUCCAAACACAGCGCAUAAACGCCUCCAUCUGUCUGAGAGAAACCGAGUGAUUACUAACAAUGACACAGUCCAGCUGUAUCCUGAUCAUCCAGACAGAUUUGAUCAGUGGUCACAGAGAAUGUGAGGUGGAGUUCACUGCCGACCUAUCAGGAGAGAGACAACGUGAAACAAGUGGAUGAUGUCACCAGCACGCAAAGAGAAAGAAGGCUUGUUUGAGAUGAACAAAAUCUGCGCAGAACCGAUCACCGGUGAUCACCGCGAGAUGCAUGCCGGUUAGAAAAGUGUCCGAGUUACGUCCGCCUUGCUCUGAUGUCAUGCUGACGUGUGCCAAAAAACUCUGGCGACGGCGAGGCGGCUGUGUCGGAUUGAGCAGUCGAGCGCAGUUGCUCUCCACCGACUGCGCUAUUCAAAAGCAUGAUGGGAAACAACUUACUGACGACACAACUUCAUGCUCAUUGGUUCAGACAACUGUGAUGCUGCGUUCUCUUCUAAAAUAUUUUAUUUUUAUCUGAUUUCAUGUGAUUAUGUAUUUAAAUUAUGCAUGAAUCUUCCCAAACACUAUUACAGUGCGAUAUCUGUGUAUCUGUUCCACUUCGAGAGCUCAGAACUGUCCGUCUUGACUGCGCUUAUUUCACUCCUCCCCUCACUGCAGCCGCCUACUCUCGCCUAUAUUUCAGGCGAGGCGAGGCGCAUCUCAAACAAGCCUAGAGAGAGAGAAGAGACGCAAACAGAAAGGUCAGCAGAGAUCAUUCUGACUGAAAAUAUUAGUUGUAAACUGAAACCAGAUAAAGCAUCUAGAAAGACAUUGAUUUUCCUUUGAACUGAACUUUAUUUUGACGAAGGCCUGGAUCAUUGCAUCUAACGUCUCAUUUUGUUUUGGUCGAUUGUUCAACACAACGGUAGGCCUGGAUUAUUGCAUCCAAAGUCUCAAUCGGGUAUGGACGAUUGGUUUUCCUUUUGAAUUCAGAGACUGGUUUUUGAAAAUACAUUACUGAAUUUAAUGGUGUUUAAACUGUUUACACAUUAACAGUUGAAUUGUGAUUUUUUUUUAAAUUAUUUUAUUUGUUUCAAUGCCUGUAUUGUUUUAAUUUGAAGAUAAGGUUUAUAGAGUGAAAUAUUUGGAAUGUAAGUUUAUUUGUUUUAUUUUUUGCUGAAUUGUCUAUUUUAAUAUCACAGUCACAUUUAAAGCUACAGAGUACUCAAACAAUUGAAAUAGACCAGUGUAGGUUUAGUUAAGGAAUCUAAAAUCUAAACCGAUUCAAAUAAAUAAUUAAAACAUAUAAAAGAUGAUUAGGUU
ensembl:lncRNA